CAAAUAUUAACACGGGCAUUGGCCAAGGGAAAUAACAAGGAAUCAUUCAUCUACUGAAAUGAGCCCUGAUCUGGAAUAUAUUUCUUUGAAUGAUCAUAAGUAUUGCUUUCAUGUACAGAAGGAAUCAUGUGAGUCUCAAGCACUUUGAAGAAGCCACAUACCUUGAAAUUAUCAGAUGUCACUAUGAUGACAGUUAUCAGUUUGUCCAUAUGAUGAAAGAAUUGAAGAAAUG